rnacentral:rRNA from 1 species
CCACCCGCCCGUCACAUCACGAAAGUCUGUUGCUCUUGAAGUCGCUGUGCCAACCGCAAGGGGGUAGGCGCCGACGGAGUGGCUGGCGAUUGGGGUG